UGGUGUGGGAGCUGCUGAGCCUGAAGGAUGUCCAGAGAUUAGUCUACAGCUGAAUUACGUCUCUGCAGUAAAGUUUAGACCCGUGGACUCCACUGUGCAUCGACAGAAAGAUCUCCCGAAGACAGGGAUGGCUCAGCUGGCGGACUUGGGGUGCAAGGCUACGGAGACAAGUGGGGAACCUGCUCUCUGCACAACCAACAAUCGGUAAGUAUUUUUUCUGCUGAAUAAAUGUAUGACCACGUGGGGAAAAGCAUUACAGACUGCGCUCGGACCCUGGAUGCUGUAUCUUACCGUCC